rnacentral:rRNA from 1 species
CACGUAGGGUGCGAGCGUUGUCCGGAAUUAUUGGGCGUAAAGAGCUCGUAGGCGGUCUGUUGCGUCGGCUGUGAAACCCGGGGCUCAACCCCGGGCCUGCAGCCGAUACGGGCAGACUAGAGUUCGGCAGGGGAGACUGGAAUUCCUGGUGUAGCGGUGAAAUGCGCAGAUAUCAGGAGGAACACCGAUGGCGAAGGCAGGUCUCUGGGCAUUAACUGACGCUGAGGAGCGAAAGCAUGGGGAGCGAACAGG